AGCUUCGCAAAACGUUUGUUUUGCAUCAGCAACAGUAACUGUUGACGCCGGAGUGUUGAUACUUGUUGCUAGGCAACAAGGCUCAGUCUAACUACGGUAACGAAAGAGGUUCAAACUGAGUGAUAACAGCAUACUCAGAGUUUGUGCUCAUCUUCCUUGAGACUUCUCGGGGCUGGACAUGCAGUCUGUCAGCUGAGCGGGAGGCCUGCAGGUGGGAUCUAGCUUCAGGGCCGGUGCUGGGGCCAGGGCCUGCCUCUUCCCUCCACCUCUGCAGGGGGGACAUGAAACACACAGGAUUCCAUUUCAGUGAUACCAGACACUCUAUCUUGCGUGGGAACUGUUCGCUUUCAUGAUCUUCAGAAAAGCAGGACAACGAAGACAGUCUGGGAGUUUGAGCCAGUGUCCACGGACAAAUCCAGAGGAGCAGUUGUAGGUGCAGUUCAACACUAAAGGUUCUCCAACUGCUGCAUGGAUGACUUCAUGCUGUUUCUGCAGGUCGGUACAGGUUACUGAAUCUAAUGAGAAAGGCAUAAAUUAAGGCAACAAUUCUUCAGUCAGUAGGCCUUGGAUAUAAAUAUAUAGCUUGAGGACAUUUGAUUAUCAUCUUUUUGCCAGAAACCGAAAAC